rnacentral:tRNA from 1 species
GGAGAGGUGCGAGAGCGGCUGAAUCGGGCUCCCUGCUAAGGAGUUGUGCUCUUACGGGUACCGUGGGUUCGAAUCCCACCCUCUCCG